GGAUGAUAUUCUUUCCUUCCAGAUCGAUGUUGCAGCAGCCGGUGAGGACGGCGUCCGCGUUCUUUGAGAGAUCACCUCCAACCUCACAUCGAGGGGUGAAUCUCCGAAAUGACGUUAGGCAACAAUGGUAGAAUGUCGAGUCCUUACUUUCUCCAACAGUUCUCUUUGCAUCAGUUACAGCCUUACGCGUUUCAUAGGGUACUGCCCUAUUUCAUCAGAGGUACUGCUCUGGGGUCCUUCUGUCUGCUCCUCACUGCUCCCGCGCGCGGUUUAGUGAUGCCGGGUGAAGUCAUAUUCCGAC